GGGUACGGGAAGAUCGAGGCAGGAUCCCGGAUCGUUCGGAAGAUCCUGAACGGACUCAUAAUCCGUCGGCCGUGGGUUCGAGUCCCACCCGCCCCACCA
rnacentral:tRNA from 1 species